UAAUAGGCUUUAAGAAAACUAAGGUUCACCUGUGGACCAGCAACUCUUUUUAUUAAGUGCAGUUGACAUGAAAGCUGUGAUGAAUGCACAUUUGCUCUUUCAUUAAUGAAGCACAGGACAUAUGGAGUAUUGGCUAGAAACAACACUAAGCCAUGAAGCAGCCCUGGUAUUGAAAUAACAGCCAAAAUGCUGCUGUUAACCGGCUCCAGCUAAAGACUGCUGGCAGAUUCCACUGCUGUUUAAGAGCUCAACAACUUCUUAAGUACUUCAUAUCUUUUGAAGUUGUGUAAAAGGGAUUCUGAAACUGAAUGGCAGCAUGAGCCGCCUACAGAUUGAUUUCAUAUAUCAACCUUCACCUUUAAUUGGUCACUUUAUUCUGUUCUUUGAAACACCAGAGAAAACGGAAACAUCAAAACACGCAAGUUGCUUUUGAAGCUAGAAGCCUUUAAACACCUCUGCAUCUGAAGCAGAACGGUAGUGUAUUCUCUGAUUUAUGUAAAUCCAUCAGUCUCCUCCAGUAUAUUUUUCUUCAUGUGUCCAUAGAGCUUCUGCCAAUACCACACUGUGCCGCUAAGACAAGGAUACAAGACAAAAAUCCCUUUGAGUCUCUUUUGAAAAUUCAGAAAAGAUGAGCGUCUUAAGUCUCCAAAAGGGCAUUGAGGUUCAUCAAACUGCAGUUCUCAGCCCUCUGUGAAUAGACACUUUCAUUUGUAAUAGAAAAACUUUGACUUGGCUUGAACUAAGGUUGUAUAUAGACAUUUGAUUUUAUGUAAAUUAACAUUCUCUUUAUUUUUCAUCUAUAAUGUGACGCGUAACACUUUUAAUAGUUUCUCCAUUAGUUUUGUGGCCAAUUGUCCCUGUGAAUUCCUGCACAUUUUGAGCAACACAAGAACAGAAUGGAAUUUUCCACCCUGUGGAUUUGUGUUUGAAAACCAGUGCUUUGUCUCCUGCUUCUGUCUAUCAUGGUCUAAUGACAAAGAGUAAAAGGUCAUGGCAAUUUGUUAUAGUGGUGGUCCUGCAAAAACAAAAACUGAUCAUCAUUUAUAAUCUUAACUGUAAUAAUAAGAAUGAAAAAAAUAAAGUUUAUAAGCUAUAAAAAAAAAAAAAACUAAACAUCUGCUAAAUGCAUAAAUGUAAAUGUAUUACAAACUUCUUGAAAUGUUUACUGCCUUUUCAGGAGGGGGGAUGCAACCAGGAAUCAGUUACAGCAUUAACCAACCGUGAAGUCAUUCUGACAGUAUGUAUGACACCAUUGGUUACCUUCUCUCCUGGCUGAGGUCUCAUCACUGACACGCGGUCAUAUCCUCUCCUAAGCCACACCCACAAGGCAUCCAGUUUCCCCUGGAAGAUCCAAACACAAACACUCAAAGAGAUCAACACUUCAAAGAUUCAAAGCACCCUGGUGCCAAUUUCAAGCUGCAAAACACUUCAUCAACAAAGCAGACAUCAUUUUCAGGAGAAUCUGAAAUUGACUACACAGAGCAGUUCAUACAGACAGAGCCCUAAGAGUGGACUGACACCCAGCAUAAUCCAGAGGAAAGAAGGUGGAAGAGAAAGAGAAAAGGAGUUUGUUUUGUUAGGAAAUGGACCAGCUCUGCAAAGCUCAUCUCCCUUGGGUCAGCUCAGUUCAGAAUCUGGUUUAUAUUAACCCCCCGCUUCCAUCUGAGAGAGACAUUACGAAACAAUACAAGAACUGCUUCCUGGACUGACUGAGACCACCACAACAGCACACGCCGCUUCUUCUGAGCUCCUUCCAGUCUUUCAAUGAAUAAUCACGUCAUUCGUUGUCAGUCAGAUGACCGUACGCAUACCGUAAGCAUGACACCGUACUGGGUUAUAGCUGCUGUGUAUUGUGUUUAUUUGUGAGGACAUACUGGCAUAUGAAGAUUUCCUGCCUUUCCUUGUAUUAAUUCAAAACUUUUACGAUGCCAUCCCUGGCUUAAUUAUACCAGCAUGAAUUUUCCUUCUGGUUCAGGCUGGUUAGAGAUGCUUUUCUUCUUGUCACUGGUUUGCCAGCAAUGACAUGCUGUUCACCAGUAAAGCAUGGUGAAUUAAGCACCACAAAACUGUCAUCAAAUAUAAUAUAAGAUAUGUGACCCAGGACCACAAAA